CUUUGAUAAGGUGAGCUGCCUGAUAAGAUAAGGUGGAUGGCCACUUUUCAAAAGCAAACAUGCACAGAGCUCAGAGCUUUCACCCAGGAGCUGUGCUGGAUCUGAUCAGCAUAAGGAAAUGUCUACUCGCUCCGAAAUAGCUUCCUGAAAUCAAUUUGUUCCUUUUCAGUUUUAAUUAUAAAAUACCACUCGCUAGAGAGAGAUUUAUUCACUCAAGAGGGUGCAACGUUGGAGAGGGAUGUGCAAAAGGUGCUCAUCGCUGUAGUCUCAGCAAUUAGGGUGCAAGUCUCAGUUUAACUAGGACACUGUGGGUAUCUACCUCCUGGUGUGUCACCUCCAAGCAAUCCCAUCCAAGGGACAUCCUGCAAAUGGAAAAGAUCAGGAAAUAUCUCAGAGGAGGAGGCUCUCAUUGGUCUGGUAUGAUUAUCCUGAGUGCCAGUGACCAGAGACAUGCGUGCCAACAAAAAGCUCCACUGGGGGCAAAAUCUGUGUUGUGACCCUAUGAUGUUUCCUGACAUCUCUACCAGGUCCUCUCCGUAGGUGACCCCACUGUGACAAUCCUGGCUGGCCCGUCGGUUGUGGGCAAGGAUAAGGGAAGCAACGUGGGCAGUGUCUGCACCACAGAAAUCUCUUAAAAUGUCAUUUGUCGGGGGAGAGGAAAACAAAAUUGUUGCGAGAGCAACAGAAGCUGCGAAGUCCAAAAUGGGAGCUCUACUAAAGCCUUUAACGCACUAGGAAAUUUAUGAAAACAUGAAUAAAAGAUUUGGCCGCACACUUUUGAAGAGCGACUCUCUGUGAAUUCUUGUUAUUCAGAGCUGCUCUCAAAGAGAGGGGGGGGGGAAAAAAGUGUAUCAGAUCAGCCUACGCCUGUGGUGACUCUCACAAGUUUCAGUUCAAGGAAAGAGAAGAAAAUCAGCAGCUACAAAUUCUGACUCAUUUUGAAAUUUCAGCGCGAUUCAGAAGCGACUGUCCUGAUUUGGGGACCGAGUGCUCAGCCCCUGCUCCGAGCUCCCGGCUGAACCUGGUUUUCCUGAGCUAGCUCCAGGGGAAAGAAAGAUCAGCAAGAAAACUGUCCACAAGCCAACCCGUCACAUGGCUCCCUAUAAAGAGGAUUUGCAUACCUGACACAGCUAUGGAAAUAUUCCCCACCCUGGAAGGGGCGAGAGAGAAGGACUAAUAGUGCCCCACUAUCAGGAUGUAAGGGGUUAACUAGUUAAACUUCUACAACCCCCCACAGUAACUUUCCAAAAGCUGACAAUAAGUAAAAGAAGUGCUGGUUAUCCAUUUUUUAAAGGGAUGGGAUUGGUUUUAGAAGAAAGGGAAAGAGGAUCAAACACCUCAGAGCAACAAAAGGUUGUGUCAGAGGGCCCUCAAUCACAAACCUCCUUCAACAAGAGAUAUUCCAACCUUCCAGAGCAGUUACCCAGGCAGCACGGCUAAAAAGUUCCCUGACAUGAAAAGAACAAAAACAGAAGGGACAGAGGUAGUUAUUGUUAUGCACACUCCUCUUUUUUUUUUUUUUUUUUUCUGGGCCUUUUUUUUCUCCCCCACAAAACUUUUUGCAUAAGCUGUUCGGGGGAGAAGUAAUAGUGCUGCUUAUUGAAAAGAAAUCCCCCCUCUUUGCAUCUCCUACCUCCUAGGUUGGGAGGUAUGGCCCAGCAGAUUCUCAGCCAGGAACACCUGAUGAAUGGGGAAGGUCAGCUCCAUGAAUGCUUCAAAAGAGGCAUCCGAAAUUAAUAAACAUAAUUAUAAUGUCUCCUGGUUUUCAUCGCCCCUGAACACAUAUUUGAUUUUUUUUUUUUUUCUUCUUCUUCCAGAGAAGUUGUGUGCACACAAAGAAUGUAAAUUAUUUGCGUUUGCAGUGUCAGGUCUUGGAGGUAUCUUAACAGCAUGUAAGAAUUUUCCACUUAUAUGUAAAUUAUUAACAAGUCAGAGUUUUCAUUUGUUUUAUCUCCUGAUGUGCAAUCUAAAUAAAUAAAUGGCACACUUUACAGUGUU